AGAACGAACGCUGGCGGCAGGCCUAACACAUGCAAGUCGAACGCCGUAGCAAUACGGAGUGGCAGACGGGUGAGUAACACGUGGGAACAUACCCUUCGGUUCGGAAUAACUCAGGGAAACUUGUGCUAAUACCGGAUACGUCCGCAAGGAGAAAGAUUUAUCGCCGAAGGAUUGGCCCGCGUCUGAUUAGCUUGUUGGUGAGGUAAUGGCUCACCAAGGCGACGAUCAGUAGCUGGUCUGAGAGGAUGAUCAGCCACAUUGGGACUGAGACACGGCCCAAACUCCUACGGGAGGCAGCAGUGGGGAAUAUUGGACAAUGGGCGAAAGCCUGAUCCAGCCAUGCCGCGUGAGUGAUGAAGGCCUUAGGGUUGUAAAGCUCUUUUACCUGGGAAGAUAAUGACGGUACCAGGAGAAUAAGCCCCGGCUAACUUCGUGCCAGCAGCCGCGGUAAUACGAAGGGGGCUAGCGUUGUUCGGAUUUACUGGGCGUAAAGCGCACGUAGGCGGAUCUUUAAGUCAGGGGUGAAAUCCCGAGGCUCAACCUCGGAACUGCCUUUGAUACUGGGGAUCUCGAGUCCGGGAGAGGUGAGUGGAAUUGCGAGUGUAGAGGUGAAAUUCGUAGAUAUUCGCAAGAACACCAGUGGCGAAGGCGGCUCACUGGCCCGGUACUGACGCUGAGGUGCGAAAGCGUGGGGAGCAAACAGGAUUAGAUACCCUGGUAGUCCACGCCGUAAACGAUGGAUGCAAGCCGUUAGACAGCUUGCUGUUUAGUGGCGCAGUUAACGCUUUAAGCAUCCCGCCUGGGGAGUACGGUCGCAAGAUUAAA
rnacentral:rRNA from 1 species